rnacentral:lncRNA from 1 species
UUCACAUGUCAGGCUUGUUCGCCACAUGUCAGGCUUGUUCGUUUUGAGAAGAUUUCUCGUCUUUCUAUCAUCAGAGUUACUCCAGAGGAUCUUUGUGGUUCUGACCACCGUUUCAAUAUUUCAGGAGGCCUUAUAGGAUUCCCUCACCAUAGUUUUAAUUCAGCUUUAUGUUAGCAUCAUCAGGUUAACUACCUCAAGGUCCCUUUUCGUUUCCGACUACUCCAGAGUGCCCUGGUACCCAUAGGAUUUAAGUCGAAGUGCUUAAUGUGAGUACCUGGCGUGUAGCCCUAUCUCACGGUGGUCUUUUACACACACUAAGUGAGUAAAACUAAGCAACAACUCACUAUUGCCCGUUUGUGUAUCUUAAGUACUCGAGCUAUCUAAUCUUUUGCCAUAGUAGUUCUGUUGUGGAAGGACAGGUAUCAUGAGCAAGUUCAAUCUAACCCCGACAAUAAUGUCGCCUAACCACACGACUGAGAUGGCUCUGUUGAUUCGGCAACAGCACCUAGAAGGACGUAAUUGGUUGUCUGAAACAUGGAUCAUCACCAUCUUUUUCAUUAUCAGCUCAAAUCCAACAUUUUAUUAAACCCAGAGUCAUCGUCUGAAAUUUGUACUGCUACUAGCAUCUAGGAACGAUAACUGAAAUGUAUCAUGAACAUUAUAUUUCUCUGUGUAUCAGCAGUACCCUCCUCUUCCCGAAUUUGGGAACCUCAACUAACUGACCAGCCAAUACAUAUUCUUGAGGGCAACUGGCCACCCGUAGUACCUGAUUAUGUGGUAGGCUGGUUAGACCGUUUGUUUGAAAAGGGAAAAUAUAGUAAAUGUACCACUAAAUCGUGAAGGAAAAGUCAGCAGACAAUCGGAACCAUCCUUAUGCACAUGAUUUGAAAACAUGACCUGAAUAUUUUCCAUAUUUGUUAUCUUCUUGCUGCUGUUGGUUGGUGGUUGUCAUCAGAAAAACUGAUAUUUGUAACAAAUUAUAUACAAAUGCAGAGGGACUAGAAUUUAUUAUAUGAAUAUGCAAUCUGUAGUAACGGACUAAAAGUUUUGAUUUUAGCGUUAAAAACAUUGUGAACCCGAAAUGCAGCAAAGUUAAAACUGCGACGAAAACAAAUAGUAAACUACAAGAGCUGGUGGUGGUGUUCUAUAAAGUACCAGAUGUAGAAAAAGUUUCACGAUAUUAAACAUUUUUGGAAAUGUUACUUGCAUUGCAUUGUCACAGAGCAUACAACAACUUGUGUAUAAUUUGUGCUUUGGAACAUUGUGGACUUAUAUGGAUGACGAUUCUUCCUCCUUCUCAUUGUAGUGCACUCAUUUUCCCAGUCUAGAUCCUUUUAUUUAUUCUCUUUUUAAUAUAACAAAAUAUUUUAAAUGAAGAGAGUUCAUGUUGCAACACAAAAUAGUUUUUAUUUUUUAUUCUUGUCGCCCGAACCAGCAAAGUAAAUGAUGCGCUUUACUAAGUGCAACCAUGCAACACAUGAAAUGUAAUAAAAUACAAAAAAAAAACGAGUAAUCAAAUUACCAGGCAACAUUUUGACCCGAAUCGACUAAAAGCAAAAAUAUGCUGGAAGGAGUCAACAGUAGUCCGCUGGUAUUUCAAUUUAUUUGUACAACAGGAGUUGUUUACAUU